rnacentral:lncRNA from 1 species
CGAGGGGGUGGGGAGGCUCAGGCAUGGCGGGCUGCAGGUCCCGAGCCCUGCCCCUCUGGAAGGCAGCUAAGGCCCGGCGACAAAUUGAGCACAGCAGCUGCUGGCCCAGGUGCUAAGCCCCUCACUGCCCGGGCCAGUGGGGCCGGCCGGCUGCUCCGAGUGCGGGGUCCGCCGAGCCCACGCCCACCCGGAACUCGCGCUGGCUCGCAAGCACCGCGCGCAACCCCGGUUCCCGCCCGUGCCUCUCCCUCCACACCUCCCCGGAAGCUGAGGGAGCCGGCUCCGGCCUUGGCCAGCCCAGCAAGGCGCUCCCACAGUGCAACGGCGGGCUGAAGGGGCUCCUCAAGUGCCGCCAAAGCGGGAGCCCAGGCAGAGGAGACGCCCAGAGCCAGCGAGGGCUGUGAGGACUGCCAGCACACUGUCACCUCUCAGUAACAUGGUCCCAGAUAAUAAUUAGGAAAACAAAUCAGGACCGAAACUCCAGAGAGUCAGAAA